rnacentral:lncRNA from 1 species
UAAUAUCCAAACACUUCCAAUGUUUAUUUCCUCACUCCUCAAUACAAAAUUACUACAUGCACGGCUCCGUCUGCUAUUCAUGCUUUUACAGCCCCACUCCCGUCUGAAUCUCCUAUUUUUAAUGUCAAUCCAAUGGUUGUAAUUCCUCACUCUACAAGUGACCCUGUAUUGAAUAUUUUUAGUGAUCAGCAUUACGCUCCCGAGCCCACAUUUAAG